CACGUAGGAGGCGAGCGUUGUCCGGAAUCAUUGGGCGUAAAGAGCGCGCAGGCGGCUUGGCAAGUCGGGUGUGAAAUCCCGGGGCUCAACCCCGGGACUGCAUUCGAUACUGUCAGGCUAGAGGUAGGUAGGGGAGAUCGGAAUUCCUGGUGUAGCGGUGAAAUGCGCAGAUAUCAGGAGGAACACCGGUGGCGAAGGCGGAUCUCUGGGCAUCUCCUGACGCUGAGGCGCGAAAGCGUGGGGAGCGAACAGG
rnacentral:rRNA from 1 species